rnacentral:rRNA from 1 species
CAGCAGCCACGGUAAUACGAAGGGUGCAAGCGUUAAUCGGAAUUACUGGGCGUAAAGCGUGCGUAGGCGGUGAGUUAAGUCUGCUGUGAAAUCCCCGGGCUCAACCUGGGAAUGGCAGUGGAUACUGGAUCACUAGAGUGUGGUAGAGGAUAGUGGAAUUUCCGGUGUAGCAGUGAAAUGCGUAGAGAUCGGAAGGAACAUCUGUGGCGAAGGCGACUAUCUGGGCCAACACUGACACUGAGGCACGAAAGCGUGGGGAGUAAACAGGAUUAGAUACCCCCGUAGUCCCUGUCUCUUAUAC